AAGAUGACUGACCUUUGUGGUGGCAAACGAAAUGUCUAAAUAGGGACCAGGCACAGAAUCUUAAUAAACGUUUCCUAUGUAUUUAUUUAUGUGCGUCUAUAACAUGCAAAGUGGCACAAGAGCACCAGUGUAUAGACUAGGCCUUGAUUUAAUAUUAAAAAUGGUUAUGUAACGUGUUUGCGAUUUGUAUUCUCGCUUGAGUGUAUGAAUGGUUCUUUGUAUGCUCGCUCAUACACCUUUCUGUACUUUAUUCCUGGUUUGCGUCUAGAUUCUUGACCAGGUGUAGGAUCGUUUGGAAUGCCCUGACAGGAGAUAAGAAUGCUACGAUUGAAAAUUAAUUUUUGCUUUUCUCUUUGAUAGUGGCAAUGAUUUGCCUUUUUUUCUUACGUCACAUUUGCAAUGUUGCAAAAAGCAAAAACUUUUUUAGAUGGUACGAAACUCGUAUCAAUAAAAAAUUGAUUUUAUG
rnacentral:sRNA from 1 species